rnacentral:rRNA from 1 species
GUGGGGAAUAUUGGACAAUGGGCGCAAGCCUGAUCCAGCCAUACCGCGUGGGUGAAGAAGGCCUUCGGGUUGUAAAGCCCUUUUGUUGGGAAAGAAAUCCUGUCGGUUAAUACCUGGCGGGGAUGACGGUACCCAAAGAAUAAGCACCGGCUAACUUCGUGCCAGCAGCCGCGGUAAUACGAAGGGUGCAAGCGUUACUCGGAAUUACUGGGCGUAAAGCGUGCGUAGGUGGUGGUUUAAGUCCGUUGUGAAAGCCUUGGGCUCAACCUGGGAAUUGCAGGGGAUACUGGAUCACUAGAGUGUGGUAGAGGGAUGCGGAAUUUCUGGUGUAGCAGUGAAAUGCGUAGAGAUCAGAAGGAACAUCCGUGGCGAAGGCGGCAUCCUGGGCCAACACUGACACUGAGGCACGAAAGCGUGGGGAGCAAACAGGAUUAGAUACCCUUGUAGUCC